rnacentral:lncRNA from 1 species
CCCCUGCAGCUGCUGGGAUGGUUGAGCACUGCCAGGCUCACAGCUGUGCCUUCCUGCCUCUAGGUCUUUCUCAGGAAGGACGUGGAUGCAGAGGAUGAGCAGCAGGAGCCUGGAAAUCUUCAGACCAGUGUUUUCCGCUCUCCAGUGGACAGAUGUUCUCCCUAUUAUGCGGCGGAGGGCUGGGUGCGAGGCAAGUUGCGGGACCUAAAGGACGGCUGCGAUCUCCAGGACUGGGAGGAGGUGGCUCAGACCUUGCAGCGGGACAUGAAGGAUUUUGAGAACACUCUGAUAAAGCUCAACCAGAUGGGUGAGCAGCUGAUGUGGCAGGCAAGCCCCAGUGCUGAGGCAGUGCGGAGGCAGCUGCUGGCCCUGCAGGGUCAGUGGCAGCUCCUGAAGCAGACAGCUGCCAGCCAGAGCAAAGCCCUGGGUGGGCUACGGAGUCUGCAGGACUUCAACAGGAAAGCUGAGCGGCUGGAGGCAUGGAUCAAGCACAAGGAGGAGAAGCCAUCUCUGGCAGCCCUUCUACAGGAAAGCCCAGACAAGAUCCAGCUCACCCGCCGCAUCCUUGACUUGAAGCAGGAGGAGCAGCAAUUCCAGAGUCUGCACAAGGAGGUGAACAGCCUGGCCCAGAAGCUGGAGAAGCAAGGCAAAAGUGAGAGCAGGAACAUCUCAGCCCGGCGCAAGCACCUCAACAAAACGUGGCUGCGGCUGCAGGGGACUCUGAAGGAGCACCACGAGACUCUGCAGCUGGCCCUGGAGGUGUCCGCCUUCUUCCAGCAAGCGGAUAUCCUGCUCGGGGCCAUUCAUGUGAAGAGCAGCAUCUGCGGCACAGGGAAGUCAGUGGAGGGUGUGCCAUGCCAGGAUCGGGAUGUCAGGGACAUAGCCAGCCAGGUGAUGGUAAGUGCAAGGCUCUGCUUCAUUCUAUGA